rnacentral:sRNA from 1 species
GACGGCCGUGUUGAUGACGAGGAACCAGAGCACGAUGACGAGGAUCGUGCCCUGCACCACGGGAAU